GAUGAACGCUGGCGGCGUGCCUAAUACAUGCAAGUCGAGCGAACAGACGAGGAGCUUUCUCCUCUGACGUUAGCGGCGGACGGGUGAGUAACACGUGGAUAACCUACCUAUAAGACUGGGAUAACUUCGGGAAACCGGAGCUAAUACCGGAUGAUAUAUUGAACCGCAUGGUUUAAUAGUUAAAAACGGGUUUGCUGUCACUUAUAGAUGGAUCCGCGCCGCAUUAGCUAGUUGGUAAGGUAACGGCUUACCAAGGCAACGAUGCGUAGCCGACCUGAGAGGGUGAUCGGCCACACUGGAACUGAGACACGGUCCAGACUCCUACGGGAGGCAGCAGUAGGGAAUCUUCCGCAAUGGGCGAAAGCCUGACGGAGCAACGCCGCGUGAGUGAUGAAGGUCUUCGGAUCGUAAAACUCUGUUAUUAGGGAAGAACAAAUGUGUAAGUAACUAUGCACGUCUUGACGGUACCUAAUCAGAAAGCCACGGCUAACUACGUG
rnacentral:rRNA from 1 species